CUGGUGGCGAGUGGCGAACUGUCGCGUAAUAUAUCGGAAAGUGCCCAGUCGUGGGGGAUAACGUAGUGAAAAUUACGCUAAUACCGCAUACGAUCUAUGGAUGAAAGCGGGGGAUCGCAAGUCCUCGCGCGAUUGGAGCGGCCGAUAUCAGAUUAGGUAGUUGGUGAGGUAAAGGCUCACCAAGCCGACGAUCUGUAGCUGGUCUGAGAGGACGACCAGCCACACUGGAACUGAGACACGGUCCAGACUCCUACGGGAGGCAGCAGUGG
rnacentral:rRNA from 1 species